rnacentral:rRNA from 1 species
GUUGCUGGCUGUCGUCAGCUCGUGUCGUGAGAUGUUGGGUUAAGUCCCGCAACGAGCGCAACCCUCAUCCUUAGUUGCCAUCAGGUAAUGCUGAGUACUUUAAGGAAACUGCCAGUGAUAAGCUGGAGGAAGGUGGGGAUGAUGUCAAGUCAUCAUGGCCUUUAUGGAGUGGGCUACACACGUGCUACAAUGGUGUCUACAAUGGGCUGCAAGGUGCGCAAGCCUAAGCUAAUCCCUAAAAGACAUCUCAGUUCGGAUUGUACUCUGCAACUCGAGUACAUGAAGUUGGAAUCGCUAGUAAUCGUGGAUCAGCAUGCCACGGUGAAUACGUUCUCGGGUCUUGUACACACUGCCCGUCACGCCAUGGGAAAUUGAAAA